AAUCCUGCGUACGAUCCCAAGUGCCUCCUGCUUCACAGCGUCUACAGCCUUCUGCGCAGGCGCCGCGGGCUGAGGCGCUUUUUCCUCUAUUUCCGGCUGGGGUUCGCGUCACCUGACGUUACGGGUCAGAGAGGAUGCUGGGAGGUUCGUUCCUCCGGUGAGGCUACUGAGCGCCAUUUUGGACUUGGUCAGGAAGUGACACCGAUGGUGGAAACCGGCGUGAGCCGUGCUUAGUUAGGGGAAUGGCACCCUUUGUAGGCGUGGGUAGCCAUUCCUGUUUGGGGCAGAAGCCCGACAGUUGAAGUUAACGGUUCUCAUCUUUACCUUGGGCAACAUUUCCCUUCCCGGUCGUUUUAAUUUCCGAAGUCGGAGAAGGAAAGCCCCAGAAUCCAUCAGGUUGCUGGGGUUUAACCCCUUCGUCGCCGAAUUGGCUAAAGGACGUUUCCGUUUAUGACAUAAACUCAAAGUUGGGAAGGGAUAUUUUGCAGAAGAAACUAUAUUUUAACAACCAUCUUGUGUCUCAAAGUGGUGAGAAUGGGGGCUUGUGAAAGGAACGAAAGGGUAGUGUCUAUCAUCGGGAAGUUUCUUGUCUGGUAGAGGAGACAUUGUCCUUGCCCUUAGCGAACAGCAAGUAGGUAAUCCCGUUCACUCGCGAAAGGAGACAGAACCAUUCUCCAGAAGCUGUAGCUCCAAAGAAUUACCAAUUUAGUUCUGUGGUGAGCACAUUCUGUAUGGAUUUGAGAGCCUUGGGUGGCCUGCAGGGUGAGAGUGUGUGUGUUUUGUGUGCGCCAUGUCAGAGCCGGAGAAGCAUCGAACCCGUUAGCCCAAGUGACCUCUCGAAAUGCGGAUGCUUGAGCCAGGAGUUGGGGGAAGGGGGAGGAGGAAGGAAUAUUUUUAGUAAAGCUGGAGCUCAGAAAGGCGUUGAUUUUUAAAUAAUAGUGAGAGCGCCUUGAAAGGAGAAGUUUUGGAAGAUGUAAGGCUAGAAGAGUCAUAAGAAAAGGCUGGGAAGUGGACAGCAGGCAUUGAGGAAUUAGACUCGCUGGAAGAAAAGCCUUGAGAAGACCAAGCCUUGGCCCAGAGCUCAUGGGUGGAAUCCAGCCCCGCUCAGUCAUUAAGUUAGCAUCCUGGACCCCCGUUUUACCUGAGGCUAGCUAAGAUGGAGAUUUCCCCCUGGAGCUGAGCGAAGGAACAAAGCCGCAGAAGGUAAACAACUGAUUAAUGCGCUGAACAGAGGACUCUGAAGAAUUGAAGGUCCAGACCCUCGGACUUAAGCAUUUAAUUUCACACUAUUACUGUUAUUUUGCACUUACUGGAGUGUUCCUGAGGCUACUCUUGGAUGUUGUGGCUCCCCGACUAUUGUACAUGGGCCUCUCACUGUUGUGGCCUCUCCCGUUGAGGAACACAGGCU